GUUCCUACGGGGGGCAGCAGUGAGGAAUAUUGGUCAAUGGGCGGAAGCCUGAACCAGCCAAGUCGCGUGAGGGACUAAGGCCCUGCGGGUCGUAAACCUCUUUUGCCGGGGAGCAGUGGUCCGGACGCGUCCGGACCGGAAGAGUACCCGGAGAAAAAGCAUCGGCUAACUCCGUGCCAGCAGCCGCGGUAAUACGGAGGAUGCGAGCGUUAUCCGGAUUUAUUGGGUUUAAAGGGGGCGUAGGCGGGCAUUUAAGCCGGCGGUCAAAUGUCGGGGCGCAAACCCGGGCUGCCGCGGGGACGGGG
rnacentral:rRNA from 1 species